rnacentral:rRNA from 1 species
UGACCGCUAGCUACAGGCUUAACACAUGCAAAUCGAGGGGAAACGACAUCGAAAGCUUGCUUUUGAUGGGCGUCGACCGGCGCACGGGUGAGUAACGCGUAUCCAACCUGCCCAUCACUUGGGAAUAACCUUGCGAAAGUAAGACUAAUACCCAAUGAUAUCCCACGAAGGCAUCGGAAUGGGAUUAAAGAUUUAUCGGUGAUGGAUGGGGAUGCGUCUGAUUAGCUUGUUGGCGGGGUAACGGCCCACCAAGGCAACGAUCAGUAGGGGUUCUGAGAGGAAGGUCCCCCACAUUGGAACUGAGACACGGUCCAAACUCCUACGGGAGGCAGCAGUGAGGAAUAUUGGUCAAUGGGCGAGAGCCUGAACCAGCCAAGUAGCGUGCAGGAAGACGGCCCUAUGGGUUGUAAACUGCUUUUAUAAGGGAAUAAAGUGGGUCACGUGUGACUUUUUGCAUGUACCUUAUGAAUAAGGACCGGCUAAUUCCGUG